AUCACACAUGACGCAUGCAGCAUGAUGGCCCGCCCCCAGGCGCCGCCCGCUCGCUUGCCCGACGCCCGCCUCGGCGCCUCCUCCCACACCACAAUCCACAUGUAACCACUCUCUCUCUCUCUCUCUCUCUCUCUCUCUCUCUCUCUCUCUCUCUCUCUCAGUAAUCCACACUUCCACUCCCACUACGUAACCACACUCUUUCUCUCUCUCUCUCUUUCUCUCUCUCUUAGUUCCACACUUCCACUCCCUCUCCAAGGCUCAGAGCUCUCAAAUUUUAAUCUCUCUCUAGCUCGCCGGACCGCCGGGCGCC
rnacentral:lncRNA from 1 species